UCCCUCUCAUUAUGUUACUUAUCAAAUACUUCUAGUUGGGGAGUGCUUAAUUAGAUAACUGUAACUGCAUCUGUCUGACUAUUAUUGCUUUAAAAAUGACUGGAAAAUAUUAGAGGUUUUACAGCUGGAAUUUUUGGGGUGGUUCUAACUCUUAUUUUGUAGGCAUCCUUAUAUGGCAGUGGUUUAAAUUUUCAGUCAAACAUGGGCACUGUACUGCCUGAUUCAGUUCUAUACAGUUACAAGGAUGAAUUGGAGUCCUGCAACCCAAGGGUUAUAGUUUAAGUCAAGGGUCCAAGAUUUCAUCAUUUGUAUAGAGGGUCAUCUGAUUGAGCUUGUGCAUUGACUCAGAAGAAUUGUGAUGCUGGUGGUGAUAUAUUGGCGAUUGGCAUCACACAGUUAAUUAGACUCUUGGGUAUGGAGCUUGUACUGAGAUGUUUUUUAUUACUGAAUUAUGUAAAAUUCUGGUGUUUUUUAUUGUUUAAUUAGAUGAUAUGCUAGCAAGUUUGUGUUAACUAAUUUAUCAAAAAGUUGUGUUAACUUUGUUA